GCACAAUAUAUAUCAAACUUGGGAGCAGAAGUUAAUUACCAUAGGUUCCACCCACAAUCUAGUCAGUUCCAUCCACUGCACUUCUUUUCUAGCCCUGAUUCUGGGAUCAUUCGGGACAAUGUUAGUUGUAUGACACAGGGUCUAAACACUGUUGGCAUAAUAAGAGCACCACAAGCAGAUGGAAAGGAAGCCAUUGUUUUGG
rnacentral:misc_RNA from 1 species